UACGGGGGGGGCAAGCGUUGUUCGGAAUUAUUGGGCGUAAAGAGCUCGUAGGCGGUUCGGCAAGUCGGAUGUGAAAUCUCCACGCUUAACGUGGAGGGGCCAUUCGAAACUGCCGUGACUCGAGUCCGGUAGGGGAGUUCGGAAUUCCCGGUGUAGCGGUGAAAUGCGCAGAUAUCGGGAGGAGCACCAGUGGCGAAGGCGGAACUCUGGGCCAGAACUGACGCUGAGGAGCGAAAGCGUGGGGAGCGAACAGG
rnacentral:rRNA from 1 species